ACAGGGGCCGCCCCAGGCCUCACUGUUCUCUAUGGCUUUUUAUUCCUAUGUGAUUCUAUUGCUCGCUCAUAUAGGGAUUGGAGCCGUGGCGUACGGUGAGGAUAAGCCAACAGAGGGCUC
rnacentral:precursor_RNA from 7 species